rnacentral:rRNA from 1 species
AGUGAACGCUGGCGGUAGGCCUAACACAUGCAAGUCGAACGGCAGCACAGUAAGAGCUUGCUCUUACGGGUGGCGAGUGGCGGACGGGUGAGGAAUACAUCGGAAUCUACUUUUUCGUGGGGGAUAACGUAGGGAAACUUACGCUAAUACCGCAUACGACCUACGGGUGAAAGCAGGGGAUCUUCGGACCUUGCGCGAUUGAAUGAGCCGAUGUCGGAUUAGCUAGUUGGCGGGGUAAAGGCCCACCAAGGCGACGAUCCGUAGCUGGUCUGAGAGGAUGAGCAGCGACACUGGAACUGAGACACGGUCCAGACUCCUACGGGAGGCAGCAGUGGGGAAUAGUGGACAAUGGGCGCAAGCCUGAUCCAGCCAUACCGCGUGGGUGAAGAAGGCCUUCGGGUUGUAAAGCCCUUUUGUUGGGAAAGAAAAGCAGCAGGUUAAUACCCCGCUGUUCUGACGGUACCCAAAGAAUAAGCACCGGCUAACUUCGUG